GAUGAACGCUGACAGAAUGCUUAACACAUGCAAGUCAACUUGAAUUUGGGUUUUUAACUUAGGUUUGGGUGGCGGACGGGUGAGUAACGCGUAAAGAACUUGCCUCACAGCUAGGGACAACAUUUAGAAAUGAAUGCUAAUACCUAAUAUUAUGAUAAUAGGGCAUCCUAUAAUUAUGAAAGCUAUAUGCGCUGUGAGAGAGCUAUGCGUCCCAUUAGCUAGUUGGAGAGGUAACGGCUCACCAAGGCAAUGAUGGGUAGCCGGCCUGAGAGGGUGAUCGGCCACAAGGGGACUGAGACACGGCCCUUACUCCUACGGGAGGCAGCAGUGGGGAAUAUUGGACAAUGGACCGAGAGUCUGAUCCAGCAAUUCUGUGUGCACGAUGAAGUUUUUCGGAAUGUAAAGUGCUUUCAGUUGGGAAGAAAGAAAUGACGGUACCAACAGAAGAAGUGACGGCUAAAUACGUGCCAGCAGCCGCGGUAAUACGUAUGUCACGAGCGUUAUCCGGAUUUAUUGGGCGUAAAGCGCGUCUAGGUGGUUAUAUAAGUCUGAUGUGAAAAUGCAGGGCUCAACUCUGUAUUGCGUUGGAAACUGUAUAACUAGAGUACUGGAGAGGUAAGCGGAACUACAAGUGUAGAGGUGAAAUUCGUAGAUAUUUGUAGGAAUGCCGAUGGGGAAGCCAGCUUACUGGACAGAUACUGACGCUGAAGCGCGAAAGCGUGGGUAGCAAACAGG
rnacentral:rRNA from 1 species